UACCAGCUCUCCGAGUGGUAGGGAUGAUUAUUGGGCUUAAAGCGUCCGUAGCCGGCUUAGCAAGUUUCCUGUUAAAUUCAGCGACCUAAUCGUUGAGCCGCGGGAAAUACUACUAGGCUAGGAGGUGGGAGAGGUCGACGGUACUUCUGGGGUAGGGGUGAAAUCCUAUAAUCCCGGGAGGACCACCAGUGGCGAAGGCUGUCGACUAGAACGCGCCCGACGGUGAGGGAUGAAAGCUGGGGAGCGAACCGGAUUAGAUACCCGGGUAGUCCCAGCUGUAAACGGUGCAGGCCAGGUGUUUGGGCGGCCACGUGCCGCUCUAGUGCCGCAAGGAAGCUGUUAAGCCUGCCGCCUGGGGAGUACGGCCGCAAGGCUGAAACUUAAGGAAUUGGCGGGGGAGCACCACAAGGGGUGAAGCUUGCGGUUU
rnacentral:rRNA from 1 species